rnacentral:rRNA from 1 species
GACGAACGCUGGCGGCGUGCUUAACACAUGCAAGUCGAACGAUGAAGCCCAGCUUGCUGGGUGGAUUAGUGGCGAACGGGUGAGUAACACGUGGGCAACCUGCCCCAAACUCUGGGAUAACUCCUCGAAAGAGGUGCUAAUACCGGAUACGAACUAGACAGACAUCUGUACUAGUUGGAAAGUUUUUCGGUUUGGGAUGGGCCCGCGGCCUAUCAGCUUGUUGGUGAGGUAACGGCUCACCAAGGCUACGACGGGUAACCGGCCUGGGAGGGCGACCGGUCACACGGGGACUGAGACACGGACCAGACUCCUACGGGAGGCAGCAGUGGGGAAUAUUGCGGAGUGGGCGAAAGCCUGACGAAGCGACGCCGCGUGAGGGAUGAAGGUCUUCGGAUCGUAAACCUCUUUCAGUAGGGACGAAGCGAAAGUGACGGUACCUAAAGAAGAAGCACCGGCUAACUACGUGCCAGCAGCCGCCGUAA